GGGGGUAUAGCUCAGGGGGUAGAGCACUUGACUGUCUGUCAAGAGGUUCUUGGUUCAAAUCCGGGUGCCCCCU
rnacentral:tRNA from 1 species